AUCCUUGGCUGUGGCCCCUUCCUCCUGCACAUCGCGUCUCUGGCUCUCCAUCUCUCUCUCCUCUCCACCUUCCUCUUCCGCUUUUAAGGACCCUCAUGAUGACAUUGGGCCCACCUGUAUAAUCCCGGAGCACCUCUUUAAGAUCAGCUGUAGCAACCUUAAUUCCUCCCCGCCAGGUAACUUAGCACAUUCAUAGGUUCCGGGGAUGACGACUUGGAUCUCUCCAGGGCCCUAUUCUGCCGACCACAGAUGGGAAGGCCAAUGGAGAUGGACAGAGAAGGGAAGAGGGAGAAAAAGGCUCGGAGAGAGGCAGAGGACCAGGCUGACAGGAGAGAGGAGGUGGCUGAGAAAGGAGACAGUGUCCUGGGCGUGCUUGGGGACUUUUCGGGGGAUUCUGUUUGCCAGCUGAGACUU
rnacentral:lncRNA from 1 species